rnacentral:rRNA from 1 species
GUGGGGAAUAUUGGGCAAUGGGCGAAAGCCUGACCCAGCAACGCCGCGUGAAGGAAGAAGGUCUUCGGAUCGUAAACUUCUAUCCUUGGUGAAGAUAAUGACGGUAGCCGAGAAGGAAGCCCCGGCUAACUACGUGCCAGCAGCCGCGGUAAUACGUAGGGGGCAAGCGUUGUCCGGACUGAUUGGGCGUAAAGGGCGCGUAGGCGGCCUGGUAAGUCUGGAGUGAAAGUCCUGCUUUUAAGGUGGGAAUUGCUUUGGAUACUGUCGGGCUUGAGUGCAGGAGAGGUAAGUGGAAUUCCCGGUGUAGCGGUGAAAUGCGUAGAGAUCGGGAGGAACACCAGUGGCGAAGGCGACUUACUGGACUGUAACUGACGCUGAGGCGCGAAAGUGUGGGGAGCAAACAGGAUUAGAUACCCGGGUAGUCC